CAUAGGUUAAUGAGGCGAACCGGGGGAACUGAAACAUCUAAGUACCCCGAGGAAAAGAAAUCAACCGAGAUUCCCCCAGUAGCGGCGAGCGAACGGGGAGCAGCCCAGAGCCUGAAUCAGUAUGUGUGUUAGUGGAAGCGUCUGGAAAGGCGCGCGAUACAGGGUGACAGCCCCGUACACAAAAAUGCACAUGCUGUGAGCUCGAUGAGUAGGGCGGGACACGUGGUAUCCUGUCUGAAUAUGGGGGGACCAUCCUCCAAGGCUAAAUACUCCUGACUGACCGAUAGUGAACCAGUACCGUGAGGGAAAGGCGAAAAGAACCCCGGCGAGGGGAGUGAAAAAGAACCUGAAACCGUGUACGUACAAG
rnacentral:rRNA from 1 species